UUAAUUGAUUUGUUUUUUUCUCAGACUGCAUGUAUACAGAGUUUGGCCUCCGACGAACGGAGGGCAGACGUCUCCCGCAAGCCGUGAAAACUCACAGCUUCGCAAGAGGCCGCCCACCCCGCACAGAUCCUCGCGUUACAAGUAACCCGACAACCCACAUCCGUCAAAGCAACGGGGUAAUACACAAGGGUGGAGACCGUGAAAAAUCACAGAACUCGGUAAUGAUCCUUCCGCAGGUUCACCUACGGAAA
rnacentral:misc_RNA from 1 species